GUGCCAGCAGCCGCGGUAACACGGAAGCCCCGAGCGUUGUUCGGAUUCAUUGGGCGUAAAGGGUGCGUAGGCGGCGCGGAAAGUCCGGCGUGAAAGGCAGAGGCUCAACCUCUGGACUGCGUUGGAUACUUCCGUGCUUGAGGACUGGAGGGGAGACUGGAAUUCACGGUGUAGCAGUGAAAUGCGUAGAUAUCGUGAGGAAGACCGGUGGCGAAGGCGAGUCUCUGGACAGAUCCUGACGCUGAGGCACGAAGGCUGGGGGAGCGAACAGGAUUAGAUACCCUGGUAGUCCCAGCAGUAAACGAUGUGAGCUUGAUGUGGGGGGAUUCGACCCCUUCCGUGUCGAAGCUAACGCGAUAAGCUCACCGCCUGAGGAGUACGGCCGCAAGGCUAAAACUCAAAGAAAUUGACGGGGACCCGCACAAGCGGUGGAGUAUGUGGCUUAAUUCGAUGCAACGCGAAGAACCUUACCUGGCCUUGACAUGCAUUGUGUCGUCGGUGAAAGCCGGCUAGUCCUGGAAACAGGACGCUUUGCACAGGUGCUACAUGGCUGUCGUCAGCUCGUGUCGUGAGAUGUUGGGUUAAGUCCCGCAACGAGCGCAACCCUUGUGGUCAGUUACUAACCGGCUUAGCCGGAGGACUCUGGCCAGACUGCCCUGUCAAACGGGGAGGAAGGUGGGGACGACGUCAAGUCAGUAUGGCCCUUAUGGCCAGGGCUGCACACGUACUACAAUGCCCGGUACAAUGUGAACCGAAACCGCGAGGUGGAGGAAAUCGCUCUUGAAAACCGGGCCCAGUUCGGAUUGGAGUCUGCAACUCGACUCCAUGAAGUCGGAAUCG
rnacentral:rRNA from 1 species